AGAGCGCGCUAGAUGUAAGCAGGCAAGAUGGCAGCUCUGGAAGUGGAGAGCACAGAUGUCAUUCGUCUUAUUGAGCAAUAUUUGAAAGAAAACAAUUUGACGCGAACUUUGACUGCGAUACAGCUAUUUUGACAUUUCCAUUGGAUGUUGUAAGUUUGAAGAUGUUGUUGCUACCGUUGCACAAAAUAGGUGUAGUAAACAUGGCAGUUAUGGGACACAUACACAGGCAAACAAAGG